UGUAACUCUAACUCUGUGGGCCUCCUUGGUCUCUCGGGUCCGUACCUACACAGGUGGACUCAAAUGAGGACCAAACUUACUUAAACAUAACUCUUAAUAUCUCCCCAAAACCCCUCUAAAACAUCAUAGGCAUGCAUGGAAAAAUGGGUAAAAGGAGGCUGGACUGGGCACUUUCGGCGGCUGGUUCGGCGGCCGAAACCUCCCUCCAGAGACGAAACUCAUGCAUGUUCGGCAGCACCUUCGGC
rnacentral:lncRNA from 1 species